rnacentral:rRNA from 1 species
UACGUAGGGUGCAAGCGUUAAUCGGAAUUACUGGGCGUAAAGCGUGCGCAGGCGGUUAUGUAAGACAGAUGUGAAAUGCCCGGGCUUAACCUGGGAACUGCAUUUGUGACUGCAUGGCUAGAGUUUGGCAGAGGGGGGUAGAAUUCCACGUGUAACAGUGAAAUGCGUAGAUAUGUGGAGGAACACCGAUGGCGAAGGCAGCCCCCUGGGUCAAUACUGACGCUCAUGCACGAAAUCGUGGGGAGCAAACAGG